AAGUCGUAACAAGGUUUCCGUAGGUGAACCUGCGGAAGGAUCAUUAUUGAAUAAACUUGAUAGGCUGUUGCUGGCUCCCCUACAUGGGGGGGCAUGUGCACGCUUGUCAUCUUUAUUUCUCCACCUGUGCACUCUUUGUAGACCCUAGAGAAAAGUAAUUGUCUGAGAAAAUCAGAUAGAUUGAGGACUGCUGUUGUCUUUCAAUGGAGGGCGCCAGCUUUGCCUUGUGUAUCUAGGUUCUAUGUCAUUCACAUGCUCCUAUCAAUGUAAUAGAAUGUUGACCUGGGUCUUUAGUACCUA
rnacentral:misc_RNA from 1 species